GCUCACUGAGGGGCACAUUCUGAGUAGAAUCAACACCAGGAGCAAUCACUGUCAAGGAAGCAUCUCUCACUAAUAGUCUGUAGAACUCUCCUAAACAGAGAUCUCUUGAAUCUCACAUUUUCACAUUUUCCCAAUUAGAAGACUGGGCAUACUCUGGCACAUUCCUUCCUGCUCCUCGGGGAAGAUCUUCCAGAAUAUAACUCUCAGCUUCCUCACUGCCUGGCCAUGUUCUCAGCGACCAUUCUGCUGCUUGGAAUGCUCUUCACAGUGAGAGGAACCAGAGCCCAGUCAGUGACCCAGCCUGACGACCACAUCAUUGUCUCUGAAGGAGCCCCUCUGGAGCUGAAGUGCAGCUAUUCCUAUACUGGAACUCCUACUCUCUUCUGGUACAUCCAGUACCCCAGCCAAGGCCUCCAGCUUCUCCUCGGGUACUUUUCAGGGCCCACCUUGGUUAAAGGCAUCAAAGGUUUUGAGGCUGAACUUAAGAAGAAUGAAACUUCCUUCCACCUGAGGAAACAAUCAGCCCAUUUGGGGGACUCAGCUGUGUACUUCUGUGCUCUGAGAGACACAGUGGCUGAGACUGCAGGGGGAGCUGAACACAAACCUCAUGAGACACUGGAGUUUUCAGAGACUCAAGGAUACAGCCUGACCUGUUUUUAUCAAGGUCUCUCGUUGGAUGAAAGUGAGCAGGAUGGGGAGCAGAGCCCUGGAGAGUUCUUGUCUCUUGAGGAUAAAAAGGAACUUCAAAGUAUUCCUUCCUUUACCACUGGGACAUGUUAAACA